UACGGAGGAUGCGAGCGUUAUCCGGAUUUAUUGGGUUUAAAGGGUGCGUAGGCGGUCCGUUAAGUCAGCGGUAAAAUUGCGGGGCUCAACCCCGUCGAGCCGUUGAAACUGGCAGACUUGAGUUGGCGAGAAGUACGCGGAAUGCGCGGUGUAGCGGUGAAAUGCAUAGAUAUCGCGCAGAACUCCGAUUGCGAAGGCAGCGUACCGGCGCCACACUGACGCUGAGGCACGAAAGCGUGGGGAGCAAACGGG
rnacentral:rRNA from 1 species